GUCUACGGCCAUACCACCCCGAACGCGCCCGAUCUCGUCUGAUCUCGGAAGCUAAGCAGGGUCGGGCCUGGUUAGUACUUGGAUGGGAGAAUGGUGGACUGAUCUCU
rnacentral:rRNA from 1 species